rnacentral:rRNA from 1 species
GAGUUUGAUCCUGGCUCAGGAUGAACGCUGGCGGCGUGCUUAACACAUGCAAGUCGAACGGGAAUGCCACGCUGAUGCGAUUUCGGUCAAAUCAUGUGGCAUUCGAGUGGCGGACGGGUGAGUAACGCGUGGGUAACCUGCCUUACACAGGGGGAUAACACCUGGAAACAGGUGCUAAUACCGCAUAAGCGCACAGGGCCGCAUGGCCCGGUGUGAAAAACUCCGGUGGUGUAAGAUGGACCCGCGUCUGAUUAGCUUGUUGGCGGGGUAGGGGCCCACCAAGGCGACGAUCAGUAGCCGGCCUGAGAGGGUGGACGGCCACAUUGGGACUGAGACACGGCCCAAACUCCUACGGGAGGCAGCAGUGGGGGAUAUUGGACAAUGGGGGAAACCCUGAUCCAGCGACGCCGCGUGAGUGAAGAAGUAUUUCGGUAUGUAAAGCUCUGUCAGCAGGGAAGAAAGAAAUGACGGUACCUGACC